GACGAACGCUGGCGGCGUGCCUAAUACAUGCAAGUAGAACGCUGAAGGAGGAGCUUGCUUCUCUGGAUGAGUUGCGAACGGGUGAGUAACGCGUAGGUAACCUGCCUGGUAGCGGGGGAUAACUAUUGGAAACGAUAGCUAAUACCGCAUAAGAGUAGAUGUUGCAUGACAUUUGCUUAAAAGGUGCAAUUGCAUCACUACCAGAUGGACCUGCGUUGUAUUAGCUAGUUGGUGGGGUAACGGCUCACCAAGGCGACGAUACAUAGCCGACCUGAGAGGGUGAUCGGCCACACUGGGACUGAGACACGGCCCAGACUCCUACGGGAGGCAGCAGUAGGGAAUCUUCGGCAAUGGACGGAAGUCUGACCGAGCAACGCCGCGUGAGUGAAGAACGUUUUCGGAUCGUAAAGCUCUGUUGUAAGAGAAGAACGAGUGUGAGAGUGGAAAGUUCACACUGUGACGGUAUCUUACCAGAAAGGGACGGCUAACUACGUG
rnacentral:rRNA from 1 species